UAGAGCCUAAAUGUGGAAAGGACAUUAGAACAAUAGAGUACCGUUACUUUACGCUCCAAGUUACUUUUCCAUGAUGUGGACGCAGCUAGAGGCAGCGACCACAAAGUAACAGCUAAGACAAGAUUAAACAUGCCUCUCUAAAACACGUGAGCUGCCACCACCUGCAAUUAUGACCGAGCUUUGAAGUUUAUUUUAAUUAGAAAACAAGGAAAAGCAAGAAUAAACGGACUCACUCAUCACAGUCGACUCCAGCCAUAACCUCCAGUGAAAGGACGGAGUUGCCAAUAUCAACAAAGCUCAGGAGGGCUGUGCGUCCUGUGCGCUCUCGGCUGCGCGCUCUCCAACUCCGCCCCCUUUGCCGCACGGAGAGGAACAUCCGGAGGGAGUAAUUAAAUUCUGAUUAGAAGAAUGUUUGCUGACUAAUGCUCUUUAAAACCACAAAUUUCAUUAGGUUCUGUUUUGAUUACUGUGGCGUCAAUGUGGGGAAAAAUGGAAAGUUUCAGGGAUGAUCAAUAAAGUGAUCUCUUAGGAAUUUCCUUGUAUUGAUUAGGUGAACAGGUGCCACAGUUCAUGUUGUUGACUUAGAAGAACAGAAUGUUCCGUCCUCUAAUUCAUUAAUCAAAACAGCUCCUCCUCCUUUUUCUUUGAAUUAAGACACAAAUGAUGAGUCAUUUCACUACUAUCUGUCGUCAUUUGAUUAGCCUGAAUGAAAGAGAUAUGAAGCGCGGGGGGUUGAAUGGUCUGGUUUCACCUGCAGGGGGGGCUGCACUGCAUAGAGCUGCUGCUACUGCUGCUGCUGAAACAGGACACCAUUAUCAGCCAAGGCCACAUUGGGCCCCACCUGUCCCUGCAGCGCACAUGAGAGCUUUUAUCAGCAAACAUGCACAUGAUUCCCCGGAGCUGUAUCAUCCCCUCAGGCCGGAACACACAGCACAUGAUGUGACUGAAACAUCCAGAGUGCAGCCGCAAAGCCCAUCAUAACAUCUCCAUCACUGGGCUCUGAUUCGGCACAUCUGCACACUUCUCAUUCAAGAAGACAUUUUUUUUAGAGAAAAAAAAGGGAAAAAAGAGAAAGAAGAUGUAAGAAAUUUCUAAUUUAUUUUUCCUACGGGAUAUGAAAAAAAGAGGUUGGAUAUAGACAGAGUGACAGAUAACAGGAGCGUCACAGUAGCUACUGCACAAUAAUAUGAAGACAGCAAACUGUACAUGGAGUCCACUAUUAUUACACUCAGCUGAUGGGAGCAGGACUGGCCUGAGUCUCUGUGGUGUUCCGCUUCUGGAAGUAUUACUUCUCAAAAUAAAAAUAAGUCCCUCUGG